rnacentral:rRNA from 1 species
CAUGAAGUGGCAUCACUUUAUGAUCAAACCUCAGGGGGUUAUAGAUGGGCAUGCGUGACAUUAGCUAGUUGGUGAGGUAACGGUCACAAGGCUACGAUGUCUAGGGGGUCUGAGAGGAUGAUCCCCCAACUGGUACUGAGAUACGGGCCAGACUCCUACGGGAGGCAGCAGUCGGGAAUAUUGGGUAAUGGACGGAAGUCUGACCCAGCAUACCGGUGCAGGAAGAAGGUCCUAUGGAUUGUAAACUGCUUUAGUUUGGGAAGAAAAGAGGGUUUCGACCCUAAUUGACGUUACCAGACGAAUAAGCCACGGCUAACUACGUGCCAGCAGCCGCGGUAAUACGUAGGUGGCAAGCGUUAUCCGGAUUAUUGGGUUUAAAGGGUGCGUAGGCGGGCAAUAAAGUCAGAGGUGAAAAGCUGGUUGCUUUAACAAUCAAAUGCCUUUUGAUACACUGUUGACUGGAAUACAGGUUGAAGGUGGCAUGGAAUGGGACACUUCAACUGGGUCCACGAANGGGGUGCAACAAAUGGGCCUUCCAACNUUUUUCACCUCCCGAAGGAAAACAACACCCACAUNUUGGGGCCGACAAAGGGGACAGGG